rnacentral:rRNA from 1 species
UACGUAGGAGGCAAGCGUUGUCCGGAAUCACUGGGCGUAAAGCGCGUGUAGGCGGAUCGCUAAGUCUGUGGUGAAAGCGCCUGGCUUAACCGGGCGAGGUCCAUGGAAACUAGCGGUCUGGAGGCCGGUAGAGGGGGGUGGAAUUCCGGGUGUAGUGGUGAAAUGCGUAGAUAUCGGGAGGAACACCAGUGGCGAAGGCGACUUCCUGGCCUGUUCUUGACGCUGAGGCGCGAAAGCUAGGGGAGCAAACGGG